CCGGACGGGAUCUGCACGGAGCCCUCCGGUCACCGGGCCUGCUGCGUGCGUGUCUCCCGUCCAGG
ensembl:miRNA mdo-mir-12344 mdo-mir-12344